rnacentral:rRNA from 1 species
UGCCAGCCGCCGCGGUAAUACGGAGGGGGCUAGCGUUGUUCGGAAUUACUGGGCGUAAAGCGCACGUAGGCGGACUAUUAAGUCAGGGGUGAAAUCCCGGGGCUCAACCCCGGGACUGCCUCUGAUACUGGUAGUCUUGAGUUCGAGAGAGGUGAGUGGAAUUCCGAGUGUAGAGGUGAAAUGCGUAGAUAUCACGAGGAAUACCGGUUACGAAGGUUGACAACUGGACAGGUACUGACGCUGAGGCACGAAAGCGUGGGGAGCAAACAGGAUUAGAUA